rnacentral:rRNA from 1 species
UUUAUUGGAGAGUUUGAUCCUGGCUCAGGAUGAACGCUGGCGGCGUGCCUAAUACAUGCAAGUCGAGCGAAUGGAUUAAGAGCUUGCUCUUAUGAAGUUAGCGGCGGACGGGUGAGUAACACGUGGGUAACCUGCCCAUAAGACUGGGAUAACUCCGGGAAACCGGGGCUAAUACCGGAUAACAUUUUGAACUGCAUGGUUCGAAAUUGAAAGGCGGCUUCGGCUGUCACUUAUGGAUGGACCCGCGUCGCAUUAGCUAGUUGGUGAGGUAACGGCUCACCAAGGCAACGAUGCGUAGCCGACCUGAGAG